rnacentral:lncRNA from 1 species
UAGGCAAUGUGAGCAAAGCCUGGUGGAGAUGCUUUCCAGGAGAUGAAGACUGGAUGUAAAUAUAUACAAAUAUAUAGCUACAGCACAUGCAAUGAUACAAAAAUGUUAGGCCUGGAGAACCGACUCAUUAAUUUUAAAAGGCAACAUUAAGUAUCUAUCCACACCAUUAUAGAAGAUGAUCUCUUAUAUGAUGAUACUUGAAGCAACCCACUCUCAAGAACACCUCUCUGCAUCUCUACCCUGGCCUCUGAAUGCACCAAAAAUGUCACCAUUGAAGUUUGUUUCAGUUAUUCAUCUAUCAAGCAUUCAUUGAGUAUUUCAUGAACCACAUAUAAAGAAAUAAGGUAAAAUACUUGACAUCAAAGACCUCAUUGUCUAAUGGAAAACGGAUAUAAAUGAUGCAAUACACUAAAUUAUAUUAAAUUGUAUAUAUCACUAUUUAAACUAAAGCAUAUUAAGUGAAAUAAGCCUGGCACAGAAAGACAAAUACAGCAUAAUCUCACUCAUAUGUGGAAUUUUAAAAAAUUGAUGUCAUAAAGUAGAUAGUAGAAUAGUGUUUACCAGAGGCCCGGAAGCAUAGGUAGGAGGAAGAGAGAGAAAAGGUUGAUCAACAGGUUCAAAGCCACAGUUAAAUAGGAGGAAUAAGUCCUAUUGUUUCAUUGCAUAGUACGGC